GUUAGACCUUCUCCACAGCCACCAGGCUUCAACCAUAGAGGAACUGCAGUCCACCAGGCAGGAGAUGGAGAAAAUGCAGGAGAUGCUAAAGACACCACCAUCUGAGGAGAAGGGCAACCAGACAGAUGAUCAGGAUAGUGACACACUGGAUCCCAUAGAGGGAGCACAAGCCCUUCUGCAGGCAUCAAGGGAACGAUUACACAAGCGAGAGAGGGAAAUCUCACUGUAUCUGGAUGGCGAGGUUCUGGAUGGAAUAAGCCACUCGGCCUGUACUGCGCUGCUCAAAUCACUUGUACAGAAAGCUCAUCAUGUCUACAGUGAAACAUCUGAGGCAAAACUGCUUUUUGACCAAAUGGCAGAGAUGAAUCGAUCCGAUCUGACUCUCGCCAGAGAGGGUUUCAGUCAGGCUCAGGCGGCCAUACAAGAAGAAUGUGAAAAGGAUGAAGAUGAAAAGGAAGCUGGCAAGACAAUGUAAACACUCUUCUCUGACAGUCAAUGAUAUUGAAUUUUUAAAAGAAAGCUGCAGAUAUAUUUUAUUCUUUAGAUUUGUUGUUAAAUGAGGCAGUAAUAAUGGUCUGCACAUUUUUGUAGUUGGAGAUUGCUUUCUUGUGUCAUCCUGGUGUCACAGGGAAAGUCUGCCCAAGUCUGAGUUUCACCAGAAAGCCAAGAUGAAGGUGCAGAAAUGUGAAAUUUCACAAAUGGCUCUGGACCUGAUCCAAAAUGGGUCGAUCCCUUCACUCUCAGGUAAUAAGAAGCAUGGAUGGUGGCCCAUAGGGAUGCCCCAUGUGUUUUUACUGCACCGCUGGGCAAUUUACCUCUUAAUA
rnacentral:lncRNA from 1 species